rnacentral:lncRNA from 1 species
AUUGGAACCUACAGGAUGCUGAGGGAUAUGUGGCAGGGUGCUCCAACCUAGUCUUUCAGAAGAAGGAAGGUCCUGGAUUGCAGUUUUUUAAAAUUACGACCUAAGAAAACAAAGGCAGAGGGAAGGAGAAACACAUUCCAUGCUGAAGAAAUGGCAUAUUCAAAGGCAGAGAGGUGUGAGUUAAACGACAUAUUCCAAGAAUUAAAAGCAACUGAGCAUGACUGGAGAGGAGAGGUUGCAGGCUUUUCUCAAAUAUCUGGAGAACCUUCAUGGUUUGAUCAUGAUUACAAAUAAAGAAAGAAGCAGGGUCACUGGAGACAUAGGAACCAUUUAUCACUUUCAACAACAUUCCUGCCUCAAGAGUUUCAGGCUAAACAGAGACUGGAAAACCUUUGAGAGGACUGGCUUGUUGUUAUGUGUUUUCAAGGUGUAGUAUUUUUCCUCAUCCAAAAAGAGUUGGAGUAAGCACAACUCCUCAGUCUUCCUUAGUGGGUGGAUUUCUUCUUCUCCACAUUCACUCAUGGAUAGCAUAUCCUCUUGUGGUCCUUGGCAGCAUGCAGUAUGUCUGGCACUGCUUCCUACAGGGCUUGGGCCCUGCGCUUUGUUUCAGGAACCCCAAGCAUGAGCCAUUGAAAUGACACAGGCCAGCAGAUACUCUUGGGACAGAGGCCAGAUUCAGAACCCGCUUAUCUCUUAGCAUUGUUACUCUCCUCCACCGGGCACAAUAAAUUAUCCUUACUUUUUUUGCCAUCUCAGCUCUUUGUAGAAAA